UCUUCUUCCUCCCAAUCUAAACUCCCAUUUCUUCCUCUUCUGCAAAUAAGAAACCAUAGUUUAUUAAAAAUUCUUCGACACAUGGAAAUCAAAUCUUCGAUACAGAUCCAAUUUUAUUAUUAAUCAAAAAACCUUCCCCCUCUCUCAAUUUCACUAUUCCCAAUUUCCACCCCUUCUAAAACAUGAAUCAAUAAAGAGGCAAUUGUUUUUAUUUCUAAAAAUCCUUCUUCAAUCACUUAUAAAGGUCAAAGCUUUGGUACUAAUUCGUGGUUUUAUGUCUUCAGUUUCAUUGUUAAUAUAUUUUAUUCUCACUACAGAUCUAUACGGAACUUGAGAUUACAGAUUUGUUUUGUCUCAAGGUGUGUGUAUAAUAGAGGCUGAAUCAGGAUUAGAUGAGAUGAGAAGUGAAUGUGAAAUCCCACUAUUACCGAAAGGCAGCAGCUCGAAUACCAUAUAUGGAGAAAGGGAUAUUGGAUUGGAUUGAAGAAGCAAAGCUGGUGGAAUGGCUUAUUUUUUGUUUUGUCAUUCUGGUGACACACAAUGGAUAAUUAAGAGGUUUCAUGGAGAUGAUGGUAUUAAAGAUGGCUGAGUACCUGCUGUGUUAUGAGUGUUAGCUACCCGCAGCUAGAGAUCAUUCUGGGUGCUGAGAAAGUGAGCCUCUCAAUAAGGUCUUUCAAGGGUAUCAAAACGGAGCAGUCAAAGUCGAGGCGAUGAGGUUGGAUUUUGAAAGCUUGGGAAACAUAUGUUUUCAGCAAUUGCUUCGGAUAGUGGGAUGGAGAUCAAAAUAUAUUUCCAGAGAUUUUGUCCGAAUGGAGUAGGGGUACUAUUUUAUUAUCUUGAAACUGGUAGUUAUCACUCAGUUGGAGUCAGCUUACAAGUAAGAAUCUGUAUGGCACAGAGGGACGGCGUACAACUGCACGUCGGAUUGAAUCUAACUGGUUAAAGUCCACUUCUCAACAAUUGCAUAGAUAAUUCUUAACCAAAUUGCAUAGAUAAUUCUUAUAUAUUGGCUUUGUGUAUUUUAAGUUACAUGAAGAAUGCGAGUGUAGUUAAUAUUUUGCCUUAAAACUAGAUGAUUCAAUUGAAACUCUGUCGGGAAGUAUUCUAAGGAAAUGUAGGAUUUGGAAAUAGUAUCUGAACUUGUUACUGGUAGGAAUCUGGAUUUGCAUUUGUUCUGAUUCUGUCUCCAUGUUAAUCAGUCCCUGAUUAUUCGGCAAUGGAGUUUUAGUGGGUAUUGCGAUCUCCAUGGAUGAGCAGUGAUAUUUCGAGCUUACAUGAAGACGUUAGAGUAUCCAGAUAAGUACGGGUAAGUAGUCUUUUCUUAUCAGCCUAACUUUAAUUUGAAUGGCGAAUUCUCUUUCAUAGAAAAUCCUGAAACAUGAUUAAAAUGUAUAUAUCUUUAUUGAGUGAGAUGCUUCUUAGUGAUAAUAUUGUAGGAAACUUAGUAGGCAUUGUUGUAGUAAGUUCUAUAGUUCGAAGGAGCCAUCAAUGUUGAUUCAUCUGUUAAGUCUAAAUUCAGCCGUUAGUAAACUGUAACAAACACCACCCCUUUUUCAAGUAUAAUGAAGGAUUUGCAAUUUCAGUAAAUCAAGACACAUUUUAUUAUUAUUUUUUCUGUGACUUAUAUGCCGUAUUCAUUUAUAAUAACUGGCAUAGUGCACCGAGGUAAAAUUUGAACUUGUGAGUUCGAAGUUUCAAUAGAAUGUAAAAAGGAUGAGGUGACAUGAUUCUAUGGCUAUAUGUUACAAAAAGUUACAGUUUCUUGACUGAGGUUGGCUGCAUUGGUGGUGAGAGCAUCUGUUGCUCGUUCUGCUUCGUAGGCAUGAGGAUGAGGUACCUGUGAUGGUGGUAUGGUUCUCAUUUAUUAAUAAGUGGCAUCGUGCACGAUGUAAAGUUUGAACUUGUUGGUCCAAAGUUUCAACAGAAUGUAAAGAGGAUGGAGUGACAUGAUUCUAUGUCUAUGUGUUACAAAAAGUUACAGCUUCUUGACUGAAGUUGGCUGUGUUGGAGGUGAGAGCAUCUGCUUUUUUGUAGGCAUGAUGUACCUCUGAUGGUGGUAUGGUUUGAAAGUGUUGGGUUGAUCUUGGUAAUGAUCUUUGCCAGGUUACCAUAGUGGUGUUUGGUUCUUGAUUACACAAUUCACUAAAGUAAGUGAACUUCAGGACUAGCACAAAUGCCAAGUAUAUAGAGUUGCUGCACUUAUAAACCUCUAAGCUUCUGCAGUUCCCAUCAAGGCGAAGUAGAGUGCAUCCCAAUGGUUUCUGCAAAUGUCCACAAUUUCAGCGAAAAUCAGGUGCACGUCUUGAAGCUCCAACUGGGUUGAUCUUUAGUGUAACCCACUGGUUUGGUGGUGGCUGACACCCAGUUAUAUUGGUAUGGGUUUGUCGUGGUACGAUGGCUAAGGUGGAAGAAGGAGACAUGCUCUGAAUUAUAAUGGAGUGGAUAUGGAGAAAUGUUCCAAAAGCAUAUGGCUAUAGAUACUUGGGUUUUCUGUGCCAGCUCCAUGAAGAUGG